ACUGGGGACUAUCUGGAGAGGUGGCAGAGCGGUUGAAUGUACCUGACUCGAAAUCAGGCAGGCGUUUAUAGCGCCUCGGGGGUUCGAAUCCCCCCCUCUCCGCCAGAUUGCGGCGACGAGUUGUGCCACUGCCGCGUGAGUUUCGCCGGCAGCAACGUUGCCUGGUUCGC
rfam:Xanthomonas fragariae strain PD5205 genome assembly, chromosome: 1